CACGAACGCUGGCGGCAGGCUUAACACAUGCAAGUCGAGCGCCCCGCAAAGGGAGCGGCAGACGGGGGAGUAACGCGUGGGAAUCUACCCAUCUCUACGGAAUAACGCAUGGAAACGUGUGCUAAUACCGUAUACGUCCUUCGGGAGAAAGAUUUAUCGGAGAUGGAUGAGCCCGCGUUGGAUUAGCUAGUUGGAGGGGUAAAGGCCUACCAAGGCAACGAUCCAUAGCUGGUCGGCGAGGAUGAUCAGCCACACUGGGACUGGGACACGGCCCAGACUCGUACGGGAGGCGGCAGAGGGGAAUAUUGGACAAUGCGCGCAAGCCUGAUCCAGCCAUGCCUCGUGAGUGAUGAAGGCCCUAGGGUUGUAAAGCUCUUUCACCGGUGAAGAUAAUGACGGUAACCGGAGAAGAAGCCCCGGCUAACUUCGUGCCAGCCGCCGCCGUAACAC
rnacentral:rRNA from 1 species